UUGGUUAUGACUGAUCUUUUCACACACUAUGCAUGGGCAGUUCCCACUAAAGAUCGGACCGCACAGAUGACAGUACAUGCCCUAUGGACUCGUGAUCCAGCCUUUUGGCUGUCCUGCCAGGCUACUUUCAGAUAGAGGGGCUAGUUUAGAGUCUACACUAAUGUAUCAGUUAUGCAGGUGUCAUGGCAUCACAAAGAGUAAAACCACACCAUAUCAUCCUGCUGGAAAUGGAGGGGUUGAACGACUGAACCAGACACUACUGCAUAUGUUGCAUUCACUUGAGGAAGAGAGACAGCAGAGGUGGCCAGAACUCCUCCCCGAGCUGUUGCAGGCAUACAAUAACACAGUUCACAGCGCCACAGGGUACGCUCCAUCAUACCUAAUGUUUGGGCGGCAUUUGAGACACCCAGUGGAUGUCAACCUAGGAGUGGAACAGGGAUCACUUUGUAAUGAUCUUGGAGGAUGGGUUAGAGACCACCACCAAAAAUUAUCUUUUGCUUAUGAAACAGCAAGGAAAAAUGGCGGCUGCUGUCAACCAAAACAAGAAGGUCUAUGACAAAAGGGCACAGGCUCUGCCAUUAGCACCAGGAGAGAGGGGUUGGAUUAGGGACAGGAACAGGCAGGGGCAAGGAAAGUUGCACCCAGGUUGGGCCUCAGAACCACAUGUUGUAGUGGAUAGAGUUGGGGAUACAGGUGUGGUGUAUAAAGUGCAGCCAGAGAAAAGGGGAAGAGAGAGAGUCCUUUACCGAAAUGCAUUAUAGUUAUGCACCUCCCCAGCAGUGGACAGUAUCCAACUGAUAGAUGAGGUAGGCCCGGGGGUUGAGACGGUAAUUGAGCCUCCAUUCUAUUGUGUUAUGCCCAACGUGCCUAUUUUGCAGCCUGAAGGACUGCCAGAACUUUGGCGUUCCGCAAGGUCUAACCUUGGUCAGCCACCAGCCCGUUAUCGGCCACUGGAGUGAUGUAUCAGGGACUAUCACAGUUAAAAUAUGGGGGGAUGUCACACAGUGGAAUGUGUGUUUUCUGUUGAUUUAAAUUCUUUUAUUAAUUGUUGGAAUUUCUUAAACAGUUUUGUGUUAUUGCAUGAUUUUGUCGUGUGUUGUUGGUUUUAUGUGCCUGUUUAGUUUAGAUUGUUUUGCCACUGUUGACAUGACAGUCACCUGAAGAGGUGGGCGUGACUGGGAGAGCGCACCGGGUGCGCAUAGUUAGCAGGCUGAUAAAGGGAAGAAGCUGCAGAACUGCGGGAGGAGAGAGGAAAAAGAGACCAAAGAAACAAGAAGGCAGAGGGACUGGACUAAUAGGUGGACGUAGCACAGAACGCGUUGGAUCACAGGAGGACCGGUUCAUCCCUGGCGCGCAGCGACGAGUGGGAGCUACGCCUUUGAAUGACAGCAGGGCAGAGGUUGGACCUCUGCCUGCAUCCGUGAGUGAACGGCUUCCUCUGUUGUAUGCUGGGUGACGCGCCGUAUGGGCCGAUCCGACGAGAAAGAGAUUGCACUGCGUCACAGACAAAAGUUCUGCCCCAGUGUUCUGUCCUUGUCAGGGAGGAGCGGCGAGAGUCCCCGGGAGAUCACGCCUGAGACGAGUGCUUGCUGAGAGCGAGACCAGAGACUGCUGGAGUCGGACGCUGAAGCCGGGACGCCACCUUUCCCAUCCUGGAAAUUCCCUCCACGUGACGUUGUGGAUCUGGGAGGAGCCCAACUAUCUUUUGGGGUCUUUUUGAAGAACAUGUUUUAAACUGCUUUUAUGGGCUCAAACUUUUUAGUGGUAGAUUUUUAUACGGGGGCUUUUAUUUAGUUAAGAAAAGAGGUCGCAGACAAACUUCUGCUCUCUGGUGUCUCUGUCCCUCUGGUUUUGCACCCUCGCUCUCCACCUGUGGCGUUGUGAAUCCCUGUGUGACGCUGGAGCUCUGCAGCUCCAGCGUUGCCUAGGUUACAUAUAUAUGCCUGAUGGUGUAGCUGCCAGCUGAGCAGCUGAUGGCGAUGACCCUUAAUCGGCUCACAGAAUUUAUAUAAGCCACACCCUUCCAGAGAAAACUGCUUGGGUUAAUUUGUUUGUAGAGAAGAUAACACGGUUUGAAGUAUUGAAAUUAUGUCUUUAGCCUAAAUUCACCUCAGCUGUACACUGCCGACUGCAUCCCCACGUAAGUUUUGCUGUAUUGACGCUUUUGUUUGGGUUAUUAGUUUGACACUCUAUAGUCAUUGUUUGUUUUUCUUGUUCUUGUCCAUCACCUAGUCUACAGAUAAAGCAGCUUUGAGGAACUAUUGUUUUGUUUAGCACCCUUGGCCAGCGGAGCAAGUUUUCACGGUGCAACUCAUGGAGUGAAGUCCAAGGAAUUGGACCAGAGAAACUAAAAGUUUAUGCACCCGUCGAGGCUCUCCAUUCUUUUCUUCAUGGUGCCAGGGGCAGCUACAGUGAAAACUUGACCAGUGGCCAGUGGAAAGCCUACCAUCAUCCAGCUUUUGGGAGGACCUGUUGACACAGCAGCUUGAGGCGGAUGCAGCUUGGUGCAGAAUCACCAUAAUUGCCCCUCUUUUCUUCCUCCUUAAAGGCUUCACAAACUGAGUAAAGGAGUUUUGUCCUUUACUCAGUCCAACUCCAGGCUUGGAGUUGGAGUUUAAACCAAAGAAAAGCCACCCUUUGCUCUGAUUACUGCUUUGCACGCUCUUGAUGAGUUUCUCACCUGAAAUGGUUUUCCAACAGUCUUGAAGGACCCUCCUCCCAACCCCAGAGAUGCAGAUGUCUGGUUUGAACAGGUGAGCAUCACAGUAUAUCAGAGUGGAGCAAACUGAGCUUGAGAUAUUGUGGGUGUUAUGCACUUUUUCUGCUCCAAAGCAUGAAAGUUAAUAGGUGAGAUUUUACAUUUUCAUUUAAGAGAAUUACUGUUUUUUAUUUUUGUUGUUGGCCUCUGAAGAAAGAUUUAACCCGCUUUAAAACAGGAACUGGAAAGAUAAACGGAGAAGGAAGUGACGCGCCACCAUCAGCGUCAGCCUGAAGAAGCCGGCAGCCGUCGGCGAAACGUAGCAUCAACAACAUUUUGUGUUCACUAAGGCUGGAGACUGAACAGUGAUGCAAAGGGGCUAGUCUCUCUAGAGAAGACCACAGCAACCUCCCUGAGCAGAACCCAGUAUCCAUCACUGUGGCAGACAUCCAACAAAGAGCCUCAGGUCUGAAGAACUGGACAGCUCCAGGACCUGACUUGACACGCCUACUGGCUUAAGAAGCUCACUGCACUCCAUGAGUGCCUGGCAGCACAAAUGAUGCAGCUGCUAAAUGAUGGGACUCACUCUGAAUGGCUAACUGACUUGGCUAAUACCAAGGAGAUGCCCUGUCCCCACUGCUGUUCUGCAGAGGUCAGAUCCCCGUCUACCAGAUAAUCCACAAGACUGGCCAUGGAUAGCGCCUCCUCUACAUGGAAGACCUCGAUCUCACCCUCCACAUAGCGGAGGUCUAAUCUUCAGGUGUUUGAAUCAUGCUUAGUCCGACCGCCUACCUGAGACCAUGUUGCCAUGGAGACCCUAACAGGGGCUAAUGAACCAGACUACACAGCUUCCAGGACGAUGGAGGUCCUCAAACCCUCCCACCACGAUAAGGUGGCGAUUCUGCGGGAGGGAUGUUUUUUUUUUUUUUUUGGCUUUUUAAUGUCAA